ensembl:snoRNA small nucleolar RNA SNORA8
UGCUCUAUAUGGUAUCUGCACGCAACAGUUUAUUCCAACUGAUGUGUUCAUAGAACAAUGCAAUAGAAAUUCAGUAUCUGGCAGUAUUCAUUUUCUUGGUGUUGUGUGUUAAUGGUGUUUCUAUUGAUAUAGUA